UUGGAGAAGUUUGAUCCUGGCUCAGGAUGAACGCUGGCGGCGUGCUUAACACAUGCAAGUCGAACGGGAUCCCGGGGGUUCGCUCCCGGGUGAGAGUGGCGAACGGGUGAGUAAUGCGUGACCGACCUGCCCCAUACACCGGAAUAGCUCCUGGAAACGGGUGGUAAUGCCGGAUGCUCCGGUUGGAUGCAUGUCCUUCCGGGAAAGAUCCAUCGGUAUGGGAUGGGGUCGCGUCCUAUCAGCUUGAUGGCGGGGUAACGGCCCACCAUGGCCUCGACGGGUAGCCGGCCUGAGAGGGCGACCGGCCACAUUGGGACUGAGAUACGGCCCAGACUCCUACGGGAGGCAGCAGUGGGGAAUAUUGCACAAUGGGCGCAAGCCUGAUGCAGCGACGCCGCGUGCGGGAUGGAGGCCUUCGGGUUGUAAACCGCUUUUGAUCGGGAGCAAGCCCUUCGGGGUGAGUGUACCCUUCGAAUAAGCACCGGCUAACUACGUGCCAGCAGCCGCGGUAAUAA
rnacentral:rRNA from 1 species